AAGACUCUACUAGACACGGCUUGUAGAUUCCCUAGGACAGAACUGCUCUGAUACCACUUUUGUCACGACCCAAACCGAUGGGCCGCGACAGGCACCCGGUACCUUACUCAACUGAGUACCAACGUAACGUAUCUUUCUUAAUACAUCAUCAUAUACACAUGCAUACGGGCCUAAUAGGCCAACAUGAUCCUUUAUAAACUCAAAACCUAGGCCGACAAGGCCGUACAAUCUUUUAUGUACAUGAUAUAUGUCUACGAGCCUCUAAGAAUACAUAAAUGUCAUAAGGGUCGGGACAGAGUCCCGCCAUACCAAACAAUACACGUCUAAAUCAUACUAACCAAAUGACCAACUCCGAAGCAAAUGGAGCGCACCAACAUCUUUCGCGGAGUUGAUAGCCUACUUGGAGGGCUCUCGAUCUGUCUAUCGGGACCUGCGGGCAUGAAACGCAGCGUCCCCAGGAAAAAGGGACGUCAGUACGAAUAAUGUAUCGAGUAUGUAAGGCACAUAAGUAAGUACAUCAGAGACAUGGAAGAAAUAUAGAGUACAUGACCCAACCCGUAAGCCUGAAUAACUUUAUAAAUCAUAAAUUACUUUCAGCGUCAUGCAUAUGCGUACGAAUGUCAUGUCGUGCAUAGGUAUAUGUUUCAUAACAUCAUAAGCCACUGAGGGCAUCCCAUCAUAUCAUAUCGGCCACUGUGGGCAAAGUCAUAAUGGUAUACCAGCUGAUCAGGUGGUGGUGCGUAUAUAACGCCAUAACCAUUCCCAUAUCCCAUAUACAUAUAUAUACAUACAUAUCUAUGCAUAUAUAAUGCUGUUUGAAUACAUACAUAUAUAUGCGUAUAUAACGCCAUUUGAAUACAUACCCAUAUAUGCGUAUAUAACGUCGUUUGAAUCAUAUUUCAACCACUGUGGGCAACAUCAUCAUCAUAUACUAGCUGAUCAGGUGGUGGUACGUAUAUAACGCCGUAACCUUUUCCAAUUCCAUAUACAUAUAUUUACAUAUAUACGCGUAUAUAACGCCAUCUGGUCAUGGGUCAAUGCACAUGAAUGCAAUGCAUGAAAAGUAUGUCAAUAAAAUCAUUCGGAAGGUCAUAAGACCACUUUGCCUCUUGAGCAAUAUCAUAAAGUAACAUCUUUUNNNNNNNNNNNNNNNNNNNNNNNNUCACUUAUGGAAUUUGUGCAUUUGCACGUUUCUUCAAUAUCGUAUGAAUCAUGCCAAAAGAAAGAAGGGAUAGCCUUAACAUACCUGAGUUUCAGGUGAAAACCCUAAAGCAGAAGUUUACUCAACUCAUUAUUCGGUGAUAAUCCAGAACUUUAGUUUAAUUUGCUCUUAUGCUUCGUUUCUCAGUCUAACUGGCGAACUUCGUUGUCUGUUUCAUUUUCUUUUACUAUCAAUAUAAUUUCCAUAUUUUUGAGGAAAACCAAAAGUUCCAAAAGGAAAAAGAAGGAAUACUGAAAAUCUUUGGCCCUCUUUUAGAUCAAAUAUUGACACCGAAGUGGUAAUGGUAGAGGGUGUCCUUUUGGAGUAAAAAUUGACUAGGCAUGGGUCCCUUGAAAGAACGGUUCACUGGCAUAUCCAACCUUGAACAACAACCAUAAAUUAUUUUGAGCUCCCUACAAAGAACAUGGCUGUAACUUCAACUUUUGAAGAAGGUUAAAUGUCUAGGAAAUAGGCAAGGGUGGAAAAUUUUGAAAACUUGCGCAAAGACAAGGAGGAACAGAGAUGAGGAUUUUUUUUUUGAAAAGCACAUAUUUCCAAGACAAAUUGUACUCUUCUCUUUUGGGUAUGCAUUUCUUGCUCUUUCUAUGUAUAUACAUGUAAAAUAAAAUAAUGAUCCGCAAAACUAUCAUUUAUUUGUUUGGUUUUUGUGGCAAAUAAGA
rnacentral:lncRNA from 1 species